AGUGAACGCUGGCGGUAGGCCUAACACAUGCAAGUCGAACGGCAGCACAGUAAGAGCUUGCUCUUACGGGUGGCGAGUGGCGGACGGGUGAGGAAUACAUCGGAAUCUACUUUUUCGUGGGGGAUAACGUAGGGAAACUUACGCUAAUACCGCAUACGACCUACGGGUGAAAGCAGGGGAUCUUCGGACCUUGCGCGAUUGAAUGAGCCGAUGUCGGAUUAGCUAGUUGGCGGGGUAAAGGCCCACCAAGGCGACGAUCCGUAGCUGGUCUGAGAGGAUGAUCGGCCACACUGGAACUGAGACACGGUCCAGAGUCCUACGGGAGGCAGCAGUGGGGAAUAUUGGACAAUGGGCGCAAGCCUGAUCCAGCCAUACCGCGUGGGUGAAGACGGCCUUCGGGUUGUAAAGCCCUUUUGUUGGGAAAGAAAAGCAGCAGGUUAAUACCCCGCUGUUCUGACGGUACCCAAAGAAUAAGCACCGGCUAACUUCGUG
rnacentral:rRNA from 1 species